UCUCUCAUGUCGUUUCUUACUUGUUCUCUCUCUCUCUCUUUCCUCUCUCCUACCCUAUAUCUUCUUCAACCUUUAACCAGAAACCCAGUUAAGUGAAGAAAAGAAGUCCCUCCAAAUCAUAUACUUCGUUUGCUUGAGAAUCUAGCUUGAACAUAGGCGUGAUGCAUGGCACAAUUUGUAGAUGCGAGUAAGAGGCUAUGUUGAAAACUAUAAGGAUUGAGAAUAAUCCGGGUCAGAGGUUCUUGGGUUGCAGCAAUUAUAGGAAUGAAUGGAUCCAGCUGUCCAUCCUCGUUCUACACAUGUGAUAGUGGAGUUACUAAGGAAGCUGGAUAGGGUGGAGAAAGAGAACUUGAAGGCAAAGAGGAAGACUAAAUUGAAGGUGUUAUGUGUUAGGUUUUAUGGUCUUGUUGGGGUAGUUUAGAGUUAGUUUGUUAUUUUGGCAAGAAAUUGCUUUGUUAAAUUGUCAGGUCGCAAUAGUCACAGUUAUGGUAUUUUAAUGGAACUUUUUUUAUGUACUUUCCUUUAAUCCACGUAUGACUAAGAUGGAACCUGCUAUGCAA